UACGAAGGGGGCUAGCGUUGUUCGGAAUUACUGGGCGUAAAGCGCACGUAGGCGGAUAUUUAAGUCAGGGGUGAAAUCCCAGAGCUCAACUCUGGAACUGCCUUUUGAUACUGGGUAUCUUGAGUAUGGAAGAGGUAAGUGGAAUUGCGAGUGUAGAGGUGAAAUUCGUAGAUAUUCGCAGGAACACCAGUGGCGAAGGCGGCUUACUGGUCCAUAACUGACGC
rnacentral:rRNA from 1 species